ACUUCCAUUUCCCUCAUACGCCGCUCUCUAAAACCCUAGAUUCACAUCUUCUUCCUACAUAUUUUUUUCUUCAUCUCUCUUUCGAUCCCUUCUAUUUUAUGGUUUUUGUUCGUCCAUUAAAAGCCGAUGAUUUUGAAUUUUGGCGUAUUCUUUUUGGUGAACAGUUUUCUUUUUCGUUUUUCUUCAUCCUUCCUAUAAGAAACCCUAAUGGCAAGCCAACCGAUCGAUACUUCUUUGGAAUUAAGGUCUGUCUAUAUUUGUGAUUCUUGCUUUCACCGUCAUGUCCACCUCUUCCACAGCCGCCGCCACUCUGUCACCAGCGAUUUCAACAGACUACAUGAACAACAUUCAGCCAUUGUCUGCUUGAUUCUAUCAAUUGUAGGUGGUAUUUGUUUAGAGGUCUGAAACAGGAUUUUGUAUGGAGCAACUAAGGUGACCUUAUCCGGUGAUG